rnacentral:rRNA from 1 species
CCUACGGGGGGCUAAUGACGGUACCGUAAGAAUAAGCACCGGCUAACUACGUGCCAGCAGCCGCGGUAAUACGUAGGGUGCGAGCGUUAAUCGGAAUUACUGGGCGUAAAGCGUGCGCAGGCGGUGAUGUAAGACAGAUGUGAAAUCCCCGGGCUCAACCUGGGACCUGCAUUUGUGACUGCAUCGCUAGAGUACGGUAGAGGGGGAUGGAAUUCCGCGUGUAGCAGUGAAAUGCGUAGAUAUGCGGAGGAACACCGAUGGCGAAGGCAAUCCCCUGGACCUGUACUGACGCUCAUGCACGAAAGCGUGGGGAGCAAACAGGAUUAGAUACCCCAGUAGUC